GACGAACGCUGGCGGCGCGCCUAACACAUGCAAGUCGAGCGAGAACCGGGACUUCGGUCCCGGGGGCAGCGGCGAACGGGUGCGUAACACGUGAGCAACCUGCCCCGAAGACCGGGACAACCCGAGGAAACUCGGGCUAAUACCGGAUGCCCUCACCGGGUCGCAUGGUCUGGUGAGGAAAUGGAUUCCGCUUCGGGAUGGGCUCGCGGUCUAUCAGCUUGUUGGUGGGGUAACGGCCUACCAAGGCGACGACGGAUAGCUGGUCUGAGA
rnacentral:rRNA from 1 species